rnacentral:rRNA from 1 species
CCUACGGGGGGCAGCAGUGAGGAAUAUUGGUCAAUGGACGAGAGUCUGAACCAGCCAAGUAGCGUGAAGGAUGACUGCCCUAUGGGUUGUAAACUUCUUUUAUAUGGGAAUAAAACGUUCCACGUGUGGGAUUUUGUAUGUACCAUAUGAAUAAGGAUCGGCUAACUCCGUGCCAGCAGCCGCGGUAAUACGGAGGAUCCGAGCGUUAUCCGGAUUUAUUGGGUUUAAAGGGAGCGUAGGUGGAUUGUUAAGUCAGUUGUGAAAGUUUGCGGCUCAACCGUAAAAUUGCAGUUGAAACUGACAGUCUUGAGUACAGUAGAGGUGGGCGGAAUUCGUGGUGUAGCGGUGAAAUGCUUAGAUAUCACGAAGAACUCCGAUUGCGAAGGCAGUUCACUGGACUGCAACUGACACUGAGGCUCGAAAGUGUGGGUAUCAAACAGGAUUAGAUACCCCUGUAGUC